rnacentral:rRNA from 1 species
UACGUAGGGUGCGAGCGUUGUCCGGAAUUAUUGGGCGUAAAGAGCUCGUAGGCGGUCUGUUGCGUCCGCUGUGAAAACUCGGGGCUUAACCCCGAGCCUGCAGUGGAUACGGGCAGACUAGAGGUAGGUAGGGGAGAAUGGAAUUCCCGGUGUAGCGGUGAAAUGCGCAGAUAUCGGGAGGAACACCGGUGGCGAAGGCGGUUCUCUGGGCCUUACCUGACGCUGAGGAGCGAAAGCGUGGGGAGCGAACAGGG